rnacentral:rRNA from 1 species
ACAUGCGACCACAGGCAGUGGAAAAUAUGGGAUCCCGUCCGCUCUCCCCUAAUCAAGCCACUGACCGCCGGAGUAGUAGUUGGGUCGGUGACGA